rnacentral:sRNA from 1 species
CUCUCUUAAGGUAGCCAAAAAU